UACAGAGGUCUCAAGCGUUGUUCGGAUUCAUUGGGCGUAAAGGGCGCGUAGGCGGCUCGUCAAGUCGGGCGUGAAAUCUCCGGGCUUAACCUGGAAAAGUCGUUCGAUACUGUUGAGCUAGAGUGUGGAAGAGGCUACUGGAAUUCCGUGUGUAGCGGUGAAAUGCGUAGAUAUACGGAGGAACACCAGCGGCGAAGGCG
rnacentral:rRNA from 1 species